rnacentral:tRNA from 2 species
UCCCGGUUGGUGCAACGGCAGCACAACGGACUUUGGAUCCGUUGAUCCGGGUUCGAAUCCUGGACCGGGAG